rnacentral:rRNA from 1 species
AAAGUGCGCUUCGGCGCAUUGAUCUAACUCAAAGGAAGUCACGGCUAACUUCGUGCCAGCAGCCGCGGUAAGACGAAGGUGGCUAGCGUUGUUCGGUGUCACUGGGCUUAAAGCGUAUGUAGGCGGAAAAGUAAGCGUUUUGUGAAAUCCCUCGGCUUAACCGAGGAAUUGUUUGACGAACUGCUUUUCUUGAGGCAAGUAGGGGUGCAUGGAACUCUUGGUGGAGCGGUGGAAUGCGUAGAUAUCAAGAGGAACGCCAAUGGAGAAAUCAGUGCACUGGGCUUGGCCUGACGCUCAGAUACGAAAGCGUGGGGAGCGAACGGGAUUAGAUACCCCGGUAGUCCACGCUGUAAACGAUGUCUACUAGGUUGUGGGAGUUCUGACACUGCCGCGACCGAAGCAAAAGUGUUAAGUAGACCGCCUGGGGAGUACGGUCGCAAGGCUAAAACUCAAAGGAAUUGACGGGGGCUCACACAAGCGGUGGAGCAUGUGGAUUAAUUCGAAGCAACGCGUAGAACCUUACCUGGGUUUGACAUGCUUGGAUGCUAUACUGG